rnacentral:rRNA from 1 species
UACGUAGGGUGCAAGCGUUAUCCGGAUUCACUGGGUUUAAAGGGUGCGUAGGUGGGCAGGUAAGUCAGUGGUGAAAUCUCCGGGCUCAACCUGGGAAUGGCGAUGGAUACUGGCUCGCUAGAGUGCGGUAGAGGAGAGUGGAAUUCCCGGUGUAGCAGUGAAAUGCGUAGAGAUCGGGAGGAACAUCAGUUGCGAAGGCGGCUCUCUGGACCAGCACUGACACUGAGGCACGAAAGCGUGGGGAGCAAACAGG